UGUAUGUCGAGAUCGUUAUCAAGUCUGGAUUCCUUCUACAACUUAAUGACAAAUGUUUGUUUAUAUGGCCUAUAGAUGCAUUCGGCAACUUGAGUUCAGUGUCACAGUGCUGUUUUUUUUUUCAGUCCAAAGAGCCCGAAGCUGAUAAGACUGACGAUUGAUCCUGAAGCUGAUUUGACAGACGAUUGCAUCAUCACAAUAUUGAAGGUUCAAUAUACAGUCAGCCUCUCAUAAGAUAAAGAACAAAUCCCAAGAUCCAAGGCUUGCUUCAAAGUUAAGAGACCAUUCUGUGCCACAAAGAAAUUGUUCAGGAAGAGGAGAAGUGGUGGAUAUUCAUUUUUGGUACGGUACAGUUCAAAGAGAUUUUCAAAAUGGUCAUGGAAGAUCAAAGGGAGGACAACUGAAAAAAAUGAAAGAUACAGAAGGAAAAAGAACAAGA